rnacentral:lncRNA from 1 species
GAAUCUCCCUAAGACUCUACUAUCUGAGUUAUUGUGGUAAGACGUGUUACAUAGCAAUGUUGGUCAAAUAUCUGUUGCUAGAGAAUGUUUACCCUUUUCGUCAUCGUCCGCAGUUCAUGUGUUUUCAAGUCGUAGUGUGGAAUUCUGUUUGAUAGAGCUGAAACGAAAACCUUGAUGUUAAGUAAGAGAGGGGGGAAAUGUAGGUUAUUUGUAGCGAUUGGCGGAUUAAAAGAUCGGUACUUUGCUAAUCUGAGUAUGGCUGGUUAGUUGUUGUGUAUCACAGGCUUUCUUUUCUCACAAAAGAAAAAGGUUUGUGAGAGGUAAAUCUAUCAAAUUUCAGCACAAACUAGUCAUGCCCAACCGCGCGAUGUAUCUCUCUUUAUAUUGCAGCUGACCUAUUUAAACUUGUUAAAGAGAUAGAGAUAAUCGCUCUUUCUGAUAAUAGGCUGGACCGAGUGAAUCUCUAGCUAUAUGUGUGGUUGUAUAAAUAGAACAAGUCCCUGCUUCCACAUGUAUGCUCUUUCGACAUCUAAAACCCUAUUCACUUAGAGAGGAGCAUUGUUGAGUGUUGGAAGCAGAAGACUACUUGUGUUGAUUCUUCAAUGGUGAUACGUCCAGGUGAGUUGUUAUAUCAGAUUGCAUGUUUUUAUACAUUAGUUGUUGUGAAUCUGAUAUUCAAAUGGUAAUCCUGGUGUUGUGUUGGUUUUCUACAUUGCUGUAGUUCAUAUAUUUGUAUGCUGCUUGCAUUUUCAUUCUUAGGUUCCUCAAGCAACAGCUUUAUCAUAGCAGAGGAUGAAGGAUAACGGUUAUCGAGAUCAUAUUCCCGUGCAUUCCAAUUCUGUCCUGAAAUAUAUAAUGUAUGCAGAGUCUCUUUCUUUCUUGUAUUAUCAGUCAGUUAUCAUUGACAGUGCAUUUAGAACAGAUUCUUCGGAGCUGCUUGCUGGGAAAUUCUAUACGAAAGCGUGAAGAAGCUGAAGUCAACCCAAGUACCGAUGACACUUUCCGUCGACGUCAUCAACGACCAUGAUUCCCCUCUUCUCUCCACGGUCGAUAAAGGCACUGCUAUAUACUUUUUCGUCAACUCCCCUCCUCAUCGGUAUGUUUAUCUUCCCAGUCUGUUUGAACUGUGGUUUCCAUUUUCAUGCAUCAUUGUUCGAAAUUUCAUCCCAAGCUUCCAGAUUUUGAUGUUAAAUCCCACUUGUUUGACAAUAAAAGCAAAAAUACUAAUUCAAAUCCAAAAGUAAUACAAGAAUAUGUGUUGUUGCUGGUCAGUGGAUUUUGGGUUCUAGUAUUAGUGUUUUUAUAUAGAGUAAAUUGUAGUAAUGGUCCCUCAACUUUAAUCAAAUUGGAGCAAUGGUCCCUCAACUAAAAAUCCAUUACCAUUGGUCCCUCAACUUAUCAAAAUGUGUGGCAAUAGUCAUUUUCAUCAAUUUUGUCAAAAUUUUGUCAAAAUAAGUUAUGUUGGAAUAACCAUUUAUAUAAUUAGGAUCCCUCAACUCAUCAAAUUGUGUGAUUAUGGUCAUUUUCGUCAACUAUGUCAAAAUUUUUGUCAAAACGAGUUAUAUUGGAAGGACCAUUGCUAUAAUUGGAUUAAAGUUAAGGGACCACUUCUCCAGUUGAAUUAAAGUUGAGGGAUCAAUGGUAAUGAAUUUUUAGUUAAAGGAUCAUAGCUGCGCGUUUUGAUGAGUUGAGGGAAAUGGUAGUUGAUUUUUAGUUGAAGGAUCAUUGUUCCAAUUGAGUUAAAGUUAAGGAACCAUAGCUACAAUUUACUCUUUUAUCUAAAGCUAGUAGUCAUAAAUGGUGAAUCAUUUAUAAUUUUAAAAAUACUCCUCUCUAAUUAGGAUUUUAAAAUAAAACAAUUUAAUUUCAAAAAAAAUCCAAAUUAACAGAAUAAAACUACCCGCGUCAAAGGCAAAUUUAGUAGUUUAGUAGGAGAAAUUUUUUAUUGUGACGGGAACACGGAUGGUACAUCCUGUGUUUUUAUGUAAGUGAUGAGAAAUUUUAUUUUUUAAGUUAUUAACUUUUUAACACACAUAUCUCAUCAUUUGUAUAGUGACAAGUGGUGUACCACUCAGUAUGCCGGUCACACUGUUUAGUAGAGAGAUUUUAUUAAUUAAGUGUAUAAAGACAAUAAUUGAGUUCAAAUAAGAUUUCUCUUAAUAAAAUCAAUUGGUUGAAUCGUAGUAUCUUUCCCGCCUAUUCAAUUUGUUUUACACUACGAAUUUAAUGUUACCUCCAAUUUCUUUUCCUUUAAAUAAUCUAAAUCACAUGAAAACACAUAAUAAAAUGACAAAAAAAGAGAGGAAAAUAUCCAUACUCCAUUUUAUUUGACUGAGAAAAAUGAAUUUGUAUGCAAGCCAAGAAAAAAUUCAUUUGAUAUUGUCACAAAAUUUACACGGUAAGACUCUUGUAAUUAAUUCGAUUCUGUGUAGAACAUGUGUAAACAAAAAAAAAGAAUAAUUAGAUUAAAAAAAAUGAAAAAAUGGCUGCUGUGUGUGAUUUACUGUGCAGAAGUGCGAGACUUCUUCUCCCAUGGCAGCAACCUAGUUACAGGAUCAACGAAGUACCCCAGAACAAAGUCCUUCAGCCCGGUGUCCCAAACCUCACAGAACCUCAGCCGCCAAUUGGACGGCUCAACCGCCUCCGUCCCCAGCCCCGGC